AGCAGCCGCGGUAAUUCCAGCUCCAAUAGCGUAUAUUAAAGUUGUUGCAGUUAAAAAGCUCGUAGUUGAAUUUCGGGGUCAGCAGGUUGGUCGUGCCAAUGGUAUGCACUGGCCUUGCUGAUUCCUCCCUCUUGAUGAGCCGUAAUGCCAUUAAUUUGGUGUUGCGGGGAAUCAGGACUGUUACUUUGAAAAAUUAGGGUGUUUAAAGCAGGCAAGCGCUUGAAUACAUUAGCAUGGAAUAAUGAAAUAGGACGUUCGAUCCUAUUUUGUUGGUUUCUAGGAUUGACGUAAUGAUUAAUAGGGAUAGUUGGGGGCAUUAGUAUUCAAUUGUCAGAGGUGAAAUUCUUGGAUUUAUUGAAGACUAACUACUGCGAA
rnacentral:misc_RNA from 1 species